rnacentral:misc_RNA from 1 species
UCUCCGUUGGUGAACCGGCGGAGGGAUCAUUACUGAGUUACCGCUCUACAACCCUUUGUGAACAUACCUAACUGUUGCUUCGGCGGGCAGAGGUCCCUCGCGGAUCUCUCCCGGCAACGCCCUCACGGGCGGAGCGCCCGCCGGAGGAUACCAAACUCUAUUUUAACGACGUUUCUUCUGAGUGGCACAAGCAAAUAAUUAAAACUUUUAACAACGGAUCUCUUGGUUCUG